AUUAUAUAGUUUGUAGUACUAUAUUAAAACUAAUCUGACCAAGAAUGGAAAAUUUAUUUGAUAAGAUGGAGUUUUCUGUGAAUAUGACAGAUUCUUCUUGUGUAGACAAAGUAUCAAGUUCUCUCGAUCAGCUGCAAGGAAUCAAAUCUUUUGAAGUGGAUCUAGACAAGCAGAGCGUCAUUGUAACAACAAAUCUUCCCUCCAGUAUUGUUCAGGAAAGUUUAGAAAGUACAGGAAUGUUGGCUGUUUAUAGAGGUCAAGGGGAAAGUAUGU
rnacentral:lncRNA from 1 species